AUCUUUAAUGGUCUCCAAGUUGCUUCAAUCCCCAAAAUUAAUAAGAACUAGGGUUAUUUUCUAAUCUAAAGGAGUGUUUAAUCUAGGCUAAGCUAUGUAAUCUCCCUUUAUUUUAUGCCUUACAUCAUGUAUUUAUAGAUUACAAGUCUAAUUUUUAGCUUAGGAACAAACCCAAUCCAAUUUGGAGUCAAAAAGGUAUCAAAAUUCGCCCAAAACGCGUCCAGGC
rnacentral:lncRNA from 1 species